UUAUGUCCAUCCUUUGAUAAUGUACAAUCCAGACAAUUGGAACCUCACUUUCUCAGUUCAAAAUCCUAACACCAAUUAUGAUUUCUAUUACAACGAUUUCAAGCUUAAUCGAUUCAACGUUUACGCGUUGAGAAUUUACAAGACAGUACACAAACAGGAGU